rnacentral:rRNA from 1 species
CACGUAGGGGGCGAGCGUUGUCCGGAUUUAUUGGGCGUAAAGAGCUCGUAGGCGGCUCGGUAAGUCGGGUGUGAAACCUCCAGGCUCAACCUGGAGACGCCACCUGAUACUGCUGUGGCUAGAGUCCGGUAGGGGAGUGUGGAACUCCUGGUGUAGCGGUGAAAUGCGCAGAUAUCAGGAGGAACACCGGUGGCGAAGGCGGGUCUCUGGGCCGAUAUUGACGCUGAGGAGCGAAAGCGUGGGGAGCGAACAGG